rnacentral:rRNA from 1 species
ACUCCUGCGGGAGGCAGCAGUGGGGAAUAUUGCACAAUGGGCGCAAGCCUGAUGCAGCCAUGCCGCGUGUAUGAAGAAGGCCUUCGGGUUGUAAAGUACUUUCAGCGGGGAGGAAGGCAAUACGGUUAAUAACCGUGUUGAUUGACGUUACCCGCAGAAGAAGCACCGGCUAACUCCGUGCCAGCAGCCGCGGUAAUACGGAGGGUGCAAGCGUUAAUCGGAAUUACUGGGCGUAAAGCGCACGCAGGCGGUCUGUCAAGUCGGAUGUGAAAUCCCCGGGCUCAACCUGGGAACUGCAUUCGAAACUGGCAGGCUUGAGUCUUGUAGAGGGGGGUAGAAUUCCAGGUGUAGCGGUGAAAUGCGUAGAGAUCAGGAGGAAUACCGGUGGCGAAGGCGGCCCCCUGGACAAAGACUGACGCUCAGGUGCGAAAGCGUGGGGAGCAAACAGGAUUAGAUACCCUAGUAGUCCCAUGAU